rnacentral:tRNA from 1 species
GUGGUGGCUCAGUGGUAGAGUGCUUGCCUAGCAUGCACAAGGCACUGGGUUCAUUCCCCAGCAUCACA